ACAGUGGUCCCUCCACCUCAACCUUCCGACCUCGGCGGCGCUGCCACACGGGUAGUCGGCUCUCGCGAGACGCGCGAACGACAGCGGGUCAAUUUCAGGAGUAGCCGCUCCAGGAUUCUGGUAGAAACAGAAGAGGAAGGUGAUGGGACAGACUAAGUCAGUGCCAUGGUUCUCUUGGAGUCAACACUGGUGCACAUCGUCUCCUUGUCAUCCAUUCUACAUUCCCCUCCGUCUGCCCACGCCUCCACUGCAGUUAGGGCUUACUUGACAUCUUGUACCUGAAAAUUCUGGGCCUUAACACCAGGCCCUUACCAAGCCAGGGUUACUGCACUUUGCUUGCCUGUCUGCUGUCCCAACGGAGCAACAAGUGCUAAAAGACACCCAGAAGAGUUCUCCGGGCCAAGAUGGUGACUCCUUCUUGUCUUUGGGCCUCUGUUAUAAAGCACCCAAAGUGUCCAGGUGGCAGCUGUGGCCGACAUCUCAAUAGGAUUCUUGCUGAGUCCUCUGGUGGAAGAUUCACCUCUUUAGAGACAACAACCUUUAAUCCUGCAGGGCCGAGUCACAGCACCAUGUAAAGGUUUUUCAUUGAAGAUAUACGUGGCAUCCCAGAAGGUGAACCCCAUCUUAAAGUGCUGCGUCCUUGCUACAGGCUCCAUUGGGCCCUCGGCAGACCAUUCCAGCCUACUAGCGCAGCUGGCUCUGGGUGACACAGUGCAUGACUCACUCAGGCAGUCCUGUGAUCAUGGACUCAUUUCUGUACCUCCAUUGCAGAAAGUAAAUUGGGACCAUGAUCGGAUGCAGUGUUGCUUGAGAUCCAGUACUGGUAAAUCAGAUACUGGAUAAACGUUGAACAGUGGCGCUGACUGCAGUCUAGCAGGAAGGAAAGGUAAACAGUACCCAGAAUGUAGUUAGCCCUGUCAGAGUUAGUCAUAGCUAGCUACAUGAAUUGUAGCUCUGGCAGGGUGGAGGGGUUCAUUGUGGUCAACUUGCCACCCCAAGACAGGGGCUCAUUAAGCACAACAGAAGCCAGAUCAGCCUUGUAGUGGGAGCCCAUGCCGCUAGGCUUUUCUGCCUCUGUCUCUGCCGCCACGGUCACUUGAUGUACUCUGGCUGAUGACAGAGUCCAGCUGAGGUGGAAUGGUGAGGACAUUUUUGUCUUCUUAAUUAUUGCUGCUUCCAUGGUAUGUGUUAACAUAUGAUAUACAAAAAUCUUCAUACUUUGCCUCCAUCCAUAUAUCUAAUUGCAUGCCUCUGUCCCGGAUCUCCUGUCCCCAGUCUUUUUUCUUCCAGGCCACUUGUGAGCCAAGUAGGCCACGCAUCACUACACCCAUCAUCAUUACCUAAUUUGUAAACUUCUCUGCCCACACAAAGCAGAUGGCCAAGCACACCUCCUAAAGCUCUGCCCACAAGAUUUCCAUUCACCACUGUCAUCAAAGCUACUGUCAGGUGAGGCUACAGUGCAACUGCUGUCCAUUCUCAGCUUGAAUUCACAGAACCUCUGUAAACCGCAUAUGAGAUUUUCCUUCCCCUGGCCUGCAGUUUGUAAGGGAUCCUGCCUGCAGCCAUCAUUGUGAUCUAGGGGAGGGGGGCUGGCAUAGCAGUGGAUACAGGGUCCAGGCUGCCAGACUAUGCACCGUGCUAUGCCCUUAGACUGUAACUGUGCUCAGUCCCAGAUGUAUCUUUUCACCCUAGGAUGCACUGUUGCUGCCUGUCUGAUGUUGUGAUUUGUUGGGUUUGACAAAACCUACUUUUGGAUGGGUAAUACUUGAUGUGUAGUCACUUGUCCUAUGAUCUGGCCCAGUAGGACAUCAAGAGUGUUUUUGGAAAGGUCCAUAAAGCUCUGGUUCAUAUUGUAUGGCCCUGCUUUCAUGGUGGAGAGGGUUGUGUUGGGAUUCUCCCAGUGGAGUUUGAUGUAAGUUUUAUGUAGCAUCUAAUACUGGUGGCACUGAGAAAGUACAAAUAGCCAGAUGUCAGGAUUGGCCAUUCUACAGCGUGGGACUGUUGCAACCCUUUUUUGCUCUGAGCUCCACUUACAGCUGACAGCCCUUUGUGUCACCUAGUAUACAGGCUGAGCCAGUAUUUUUAGGUGUGGGAUAUGUUGUGUCCAGAACCCAAAGAGGCUUCUCAGGUUUUAUGAUUCCUUCUUCAUGGUGGGCGGUGCAAGAUGCAAUCAUUUGUCCUUUUCUCUGGAUAUAAUGUCCUGGCACACCCCUAACUCUGGACCUGAAAACAUCUUUCUCAUGUGGCAGGUUCUUCUGUGCAUCUCCCACCCUCUAAAGCACAUGUGUCAGGUGAAGGCCUCUAAGGUACCAGCCUUUCUGUGUCCAUCUGCUGAAUCAGUGUGAUGUCACUGAUGUAACAGAUCAAUGCCACAUUCUUCAGUGUGUCCAGAUGGCCCACAUCUCUGCAAGCUGUGUUAUGACAGAUGCUGACAGUUACCAUAGCCCCAGGGCAAAACUAUAAAUAUAUACUGUUGCUUGUUCUGUGUGGAUGCAUGCUGUUUCAAACGUACUUUUCUCCCAGGGAUAGAAAAGAACUCAUUCACCAAGGAGCUGUCUACAUAAAAGGUACUUGAGGCUGUGUUCUAGUAAAGAUCCCAGCAUGGAGAGCUGGCUGCCAUAGGGCUGUCUGUGUGAGUUUGUGUCUUCUACUGUCUGCUGCCCUCCUCCAGGCUCCAUCUGGUUUCUACAGGGAAAAUAUUGGUGAAUUUAAAAGGAAAAUGAUACUUACAGGAAAAAUCCUUGAAGUUUGCCCCAUUGCAUAUUGUCAGGGAGGUUUUCUAACUUUUAUACAUGGUUCUGAGUUACCUGUCAAUCAUUCCUAGUGUUUUAUAGUGUUCCUAAAGCAUCCUAGGAGACUUUAACAGUUGUCACCCCAUGCCCUUGUUUUUGCAGUUAUUAUUUCACCCAUGUUCCUUGAUUGUCAAAUACAUUCCCUUCCAGAAGCAAACCAUCUCAAUCCACUGCAAGUGAGACUUUUAACAGCUGGACCAUCUAUCACCGUGUGCUAAGGGAUACCUGUGUUGUAGCUCGGAGCAGUGAUGAGGGCCUCAGUGCUAGUGUGGCAAAGCAUAACACUACUUCCAAGUUCCGUCACAUCACCUGCUUUCUUAGGCCACUCCUACACUCCUCCUUCUCUUGGAAGCAGGCACUGAGACUAUUUGGAGUACACAGACAUUAUUAGGGUGUGCACUUAGUAUCUAUGCCUGUGUGAGAGAACCAGCAGGAGCAGAAUUGGGCAGAGGGUGAAGCAACACCAACAUGCAGGGUGAACAAUAAUAGAACAGGAACUCUUCUUGUAUGGAAUUGGAUAGCAAAGCAUUGCGUAAGCAUGCUGAAAGAAGCAUGAUAUAUGUCUACAUUAACAGAUAAGCAGUCACCACAAUAUUCUGAAAACAUAGAACCAUAUCAAGCAAUUAGAAAUUUUAAAUGAAAUGUAUUAGCUAAUGUGAGACAUUUAAAACAGAAUAUCUUAUUACAUCCGGACUUCUUCACAGAUGUAAAGAAUGAAAAUGAAUCUCCAAUAGAUGUAGCUUCCAAGUGGCUUGUUAGUCAAAUAAAGAGAACCAUUAACUAA